UACGUAGGGUGCAAGCGUUAAUCGGAAUUACUGGGCGUAAAGCGUGCGCAGGCGGUGAUGUAAGACAGAUGUGAAAUCCCCGGGCUCAACCUGGGAACUGCAUUUGUGACUGCAUCGCUGGAGUACGGCAGAGGGGGAUGGAAUUCCGCGUGUAGCAGUGAAAUGCGUAGAUAUGCGGAGGAACACCGAUGGCGAAGGCAAUCCCCUGGGCCUGUACUGACGCUCAUGCGCGAAAGCGUGGGGAGCAAACAGG
rnacentral:rRNA from 1 species